UUAUAAUAAUUAAGAGUAAUGUGUGUGUGUGUGUGAGACAUGAUUUUGUUCACUCUCUUUAAACAGUAAAUAUUGAAAGGUCAUUUCUAACCGAUACUUUCCCUCUAUUAAAUAUAGCAGAACUGAAAAAGUAAAAAUGAUUAAAACAUGCCACAUAUGUCAGAUUUCGUAAAAAAUUAUCUGUCCAACUAUACCACAGUGAAGAAAGAAGAAAUUGUUUUCUAAUAAUAACAGUAACAAUAGGUGAAUAUCCUGAAUGAAUAUAAUAAUAAUAAUAUCCUGUGUUUUCUAAAAUAUGCCCUGUCGUGCUCUAGAAAAUAACCUAAUUUCAGCUCAACGAACUAUUAAACUAAUUAACUCCAAUUUAUGGAAGAUUGAAAAUUAUGACAACUGAAGGCCCUUCCAUCCUUAAGUUCUUAUAUUUUAGGUCCGAAUAAUGCCUAGUAUCGAUUAAAAUUUAUAUAUAAAGAAGCUGGUAGAGAACACAACCGGAUAUAGAAAGCCCAGAGUCAGUCAAAUGCCGACCGUAUUGUACGUUAUCCUCUUACUUUCUGACGUAAUAAUACAUUUAUUACGUAAACAAAGACAAUUGAUAUCCAUAAAGAAACAUCCGAGAUUUAUAAGAAAAUGGAAGAAAGCGAAAUGUAAAAGAUAAAAAAGGUAAACAUUAAUUAAUUAAUUCUACUAUUAUAGGGUAGAUGUUUGCAUAUGAAACGUCACAGGAAACCUCUGUUCGAAAUAACACGUGACUGUAUUUAUUUUUCGAUAUAUGCAUACUGUAUAUAGCAGGUAACAGUAGUGUAUUGAGGUAACUACUAUCUGAAAGUAUAUACUUUCACUGUAGUAACCAUGAUAUACUGUCAACAGAGAAAGAUGAUAAGAUUAUUCCUAUUCCAAUUGGCUAUCAUCUCCGUUGUUUUGGCUGAACCCAUCAUUUCUGUAAAGUGUGGUAUCGUAUAUCUUCUAUUUGGCUUUAUUGUUUGUUGUACUUAGUUUUACAAAGUUAACAAAAUUAUUAUUGCAGAGGAACUAACAAAUAAAAGUAUCUCCAUAAGUAAGGUAAAUAUAGACCCAUAUCCCAUACAACUUGGAAAUAAUGAAUCCAUCAGCUUUCCAUCAUGACGCGGAAUCUUCAGUACCCAUAGAAAGUGGCUCUACAAUCCAAAUCUUUGCAACAUUUUUUAUAAAUAGAAUUACUUGUCCGAAUUAUUAUCCAUUUUGUAUUGAUUUCUGUGAAUUGAUUGAGGAACCGUCUGUCACUUGCAUCAUUGAUGGUCAACCUUGCGGACAAUGUCCUCUUCCUCCCGGAGACAUACAAAUUAGAAACUUAACAGUUUUAUUUCCAAAGUUUCCUUCGGUAAUUAUAUCUUUGAGUAGCAAUUCUCAAAUUGCAGAUAUAUACAUUCUUACAGUAGUCUGUCUGUCAGUCUUCCCGUAUUCAUUAAUUAAUCUCGAAAACGGAGUUAGAUAAAAAUCGAGCCACCAGAUAUGGAAAACUUCGGAGCUGGAUGCCCGCUUACCUAUAUAAAAACUUUCAGUUUGGUCACGUAAAUUUUUAAAUUAAGAGAUUAUUAAAAAUUGCAACUCGUUGUCGUGACAAAGUCAAGAUAAAUGGCGCGAAUUUACUUACACGAUAUAAUUUAUCCGAGUGUAUUGUCUUGUUGUCUGUACAUUUAUCGUAUAAUCUGGUUUGCGCUGACUAAACUGUUUUCGGCCAGAACAAUUGGGCCCCUUUUCUCUUGCAAACAAACAAGAAGGAAAAAUUUAUUGUAUUUAUUCGUCGAAAGUCUAUUUUCUUCAUAGUAAGUAAUAAUUUAUUUAUUUUUCUUCUGUUGAUAAACACAAAGCUCGGGUUUCGAGUUAGGUGGCGAACGUCCUACCUUCUGAUUGUCUGUCGACAUAACAUUUACAGAUGAAGAAAUACAUAUAUUUUUAAAAAUAACCUAAAUUAAACUUUUUCUAGUUCCUAUUUUUAAUGAUUUAUUCACGAAUACUCGUGAUUAACACGAAUAUUCGAGAAGCCGUCGAGGCAGAUACAAAAGUUACAACUGCCAUUAACGGGUUGUUUACCCGUUUCCUCACUGACGGUACUAAGAGCUUAAUUUUAAAAGCUAUUGUGCGAUCGGCCAGGCCCCACAAUGGGAUGAUCGAACGAGUGAGGAGGAAAGCCUAUAUAUCCGGGACAGAGCAAACGUUGUUUGGGCUUUAAUAGUGUACAUAUUUAUUCCGAACGUAACGGACGUUCCGGUUAUAGUUGUUCCGAACGUAACGGACGUUCGGAACAACUAAAUAGGAGCCACUUAUUAGAGAAAUUCCUUCAAAAAGUCAUUCUUCUAAGCAGAUCGCCCGCGUAUCGCGUUGCGGAACAGUCGAGCCAGUGUUAUUAGUUAUGAUGAAAUCGUUCUUUCUCUCAUAAAUAUGAGUAACGUAGCUGCAACAAUGUCCCAAUUCUGAGUUUCUCUUAACGAUUAAGAAAGGGCACCACUCAGAAAAAAUACUUUUAAUAUCAUCUGAUCGUGUAAUAUUAUUUGAUUUUUCAUAAUUGUCUUGGAUUAUUUUACUUAGUCUUUCUAUAUUUACCCCUAUUUAACUUCUA